GGCUUAGCUGUCUCCUUUUUCUAGCCAAUGAAAUUGAUCUUUCCGUGCAGAAGCGGGAAUAAAAACAUAAGACGAGAAGACCCUAUGGAGCUUUAGACACUAAGACAGAUCACGUCAAACACCCCACUUUAAUGGACUGAACUAAGUGAACCCUGUCCUAAUGUCUUUGGUUGGGGCGACCCUGGGGAAAUAAAUAACCCCCAUGUGGAAUGGAAACACCACAUUUCCAGAACUAAGAGCUAACCGCUCUAAGGAGCAGAAUUUCUGACCAUUUUAGAUCCGGCAACGCCGAUCAGCGGACCGAGUUA
rnacentral:rRNA from 1 species